rnacentral:rRNA from 1 species
CCAGCCAUCCCGCGUGUGCGAUGAAGGCCUUCGGGUUGUAAAGCACUUUUGGCAGGAAAGAAACGUUCCGGGUUAAUACCCCGGGAAACUGACGGUACCUGCAGAAUAAGCACCGGCUAACUACGUGCCAGCAGCCGCGGUAAUACGUAGGGUGCAAGCGUUAAUCGGAAUUACUGGGCGUAAAGCGUGCGCAGGCGGUUCGGAAAGAAAGAUGUGAAAUCCCAGAGCUUAACUUUGGAACUGCAUUUUUAACUACCGAGCUAGAGKGKGUCAGAGGGAGGUGGAAUUCCGCGUGUAGCAGUGAAAUGCGUAGAUAUGCGGAGGAACACCGAUGGCGAAGGCAGCCUCCUGGGAUAACACUGACGCUCAUGCACGAAAGCGUGGGGAGCAAACAGGAUUAGAUACCCUGGUAGUCCACGCCCUAAACGAUGUCAACUAGCUGUUGGGGCCUUCGGGCCUUGGUAGCGCAGCUAACGCGUGAAGUUGACCGCCUGGGGAGUACGGUCGCAAGAUUAAAACUCAAAGGAAUUGACGGGGACCCGCACAAGCGGUGGAUGAUGUGGAUUAAUUCGAUGCAACGCG